ensembl:lncRNA
ACAGGCCAUAAGAGGCUGACGUCAGCAUGUUACAAUAAAAACAUAUUAAAACAUCAAAGUUUUAGUAAAGGGUGUCCUUGCCCUAUAGAGGGAGUUUUCUCAGUUCUCGGUUACACACACAUGCGCGUCCGCAAGACAACUCGGGUUUUCCGGGCAUGGAAUACACAGAUAUACGGAAAUGGCUACUCUAACAUCUACGCCCUUCUUCUGGUUUGGCUACUUGUGUGUCGUCCUGUUUGUGUCUGCAGACCAGAAAAACAUACCAGCUAAGUCUGGACAGGACGUCACUCUGCCAUGUCGAGCUCCAAACAACAACAACAAACCUAUCAUAAUUGCAGAGUGGAGCAGAGCUGACUUGGACACAGAAUAUGUCCUUUUGUAUCGGGGUGAGCAAUUUGUUCCAGACAACCAGCAUCCAUCUUUUAAGAACCGGGUGGAUCUGCAGGACAGACAGAUGAAGGAUGGAGACGUGUCUUUGAUUCUGAAGAAUGUGACGACUGCUGAUAGUGGGAUGUACAAGUGUCGUGCAUUUUUGAGUCAAACACGAUCGUGGGAAUCCAUCAACAACAUCAACCUGAGUGUUGAUCCUCCAGGUCAGACAAGAGGACCUGUUGGACUGAUAGUUGGUCUGUCUGUUUCUGCUGUGCUUCUUGUUGCUGCUGUUGUUGGUUUUUUGAUCUACAGAAACCAUAAACAGAAGCAGAAUUCACAUCAAGCACGUGCUGUUGUUUGAACAGUUGAACUAUGAGUCUCCUGCAGCUGUUCCAAGACUGAUGAGUAUACACUGAUACUCUACUGCCAAUUUGGUGUUCGGCAUCUUUGUGAAAGAAUUUCAACAUUAGUGAUUGACAAGACAAUUGUAACACCAAGGAACUGUUCUGUGAAGCAGGAUUUGGUUUUAUACAGAUAACUUCAGGGUUCUAGAUUUUCAGUGCAACAAAAGUAUUUCACUUACUUACUAGGGUAUACUGCAAUGGUAACUUCAUUAAUAUAAUAGCCCUUUUACAUUUUGACUGACUAAAGAGCUUAAAGUGCACACUUUUAAUAAUAUAGCACUAUACAAUUUUCCUCCCACACAUAAUGUUGUGUAUAUUUCACUCUGUGUUUAACCACUACAUAUUUUUCUCAUACAGUAUAGUAACAUCUGUCUUUGUAAAUUCAGCCACUCUGCUGCCACUACUCUUUCCAAUAAUUGUGAUUGGUCAAAUGCUGCAAACACCAUCCUUUUUGCAGACACCCAGGGUUCAUUUAGCAAGUCAGUAACCAACUUCAGGUGUCCAACCUAACCCCACUGCCAGUGUUAGUGUAAGCAAAUCCAAAUAAUGAAAAUAUAAUCUGGAUAUGUUUAUUUCACUUCAUAGUACAGACUUCUGAAGUUGCACUCAGCAAACAGGUUGUAUCCAAAGAGGAAAGAAAAUGAAAACAUAAAAGACUGAAGCCACGUCCAAAAUAAUUCAAUCUUUAUCUAUAAAAUGCAGAAUAUUUCUCUUUUUAAGAUAUAAAGCGAAGCAAUGUUUAGCGUUUUCUGAAUUUCUUAAUUUCUAUGAAAAAGAUUCAAGAUUUCACUACAAGAUUACAGUUUUCAAAAUUAAUUAUUUUAUUAUCAUUUGGUGGCUGUAGCUCAGGUGGUAGAGCAGUUCCCUUGCUAAUCGGAAGGUUCGUAUGCAAAAUAUCACUGAGCAAGAUACUAACCCAAGUUGCUCUCUGACGCAUCCAUCAGAGUAUGAAUGGAUGUGAAGGUUACAUUAGAAAGCACUUAGAGCAUAGAAAAUGUGAAUGGGUGAAGGAGGGGAGUUGUGUAAAGAUGAGUGCUCAGAGUAGAAAAGCACUAUACAAGAAUCAGUAUAUUUACUUUUUCUACUGCUGUACAAAAUUAAAAAUAUCUAAUAUUAGAUAAACAAAGUAGUUAUUGCAUUAAUAUAUUGCCAGCUGGAGUAAAAAAAAGAAAUCGAUAUUCAUGACUCUUAAUUUAAAAAAACAAAACAAAACAUUAAACAGAAAUUAAAUAUAUAUGCUGUGAGGUGGGAUUGUACCUGUUAACUAAUGCUUUUACUUAUAAAAUCCACUAUUAUACUGCUUCAAUAUAAGCAGAAGAGUUAAGGACAGUUCUUUAACACAUUUUUAUGUAUUAAGCACAGUUGUCUAAAUUUCAUGAUGUCCAGCUUUUCAAAAUUUUUAAACACUGUACAAAUUUACUGUAAGACUUAAUACUAAAUGUUUAUUUAUAUUCUGUAUUUUGCUUUCAAAUAUUUUAUGUUCAACUGUUUUACAACCUUUGACAUUGUAGACAUCAUUUCAUGUGAUUUUCUUUCUGUACAGUUGUUUUUCUCCUUUACCAGAAACCGUGUGACCUGUUGAGUUAGUAGAUGUAGCAUUAACCUGAAUGUUUCUUCUCCACUCCAUCUUUUUUCCUCUCUCCAUAUGUUUAUAUGUUGCUACUAAAUGUAAUUAAAAUUCUCCCCUUUAGUAUUUUUUUCUCUUUCUAUGAUUUCAAUCAUAGAAAGAGGCUUCACUAUGCCAAGUCAAUUCAACUGCUCGUCUGUGUCUUACAUCAUGCUUUACUUUCGUCGCCAUUCCUUUUUGGGUCAUGUUUUGGGUUUAACCCCUCCACCCGUGUGAUUAUGUUAGUUGUCUUGAGGUGUGUUCUCCACAUGUUACAUCUUCACUUGUUAUCUUGUGUGUAUAUUACUUUUUUUGUUUGUCCUUUGCUAAGUGGUUGCCAGACAAUGAGAUGGUGACAUCCAGAACUGAACAUUUUUGGAUAUCAAUCAAAUGUUAAUGUACUUUUAUAAGUUGUUUUUUUUUUUGUUUUUUGUUUUUUUAAUUCAGGUUUAAAACUUUCUUUUUGGCUAAAGCAUAUAGUCAGGGCUGGAUCAGGUGACCCCGAAUCCUCCCUCAUUUUUGCUUCAAUAGGUGUAGACUGCUGAGGGAUUCCCAUGAUGCAUUGAUUAUUAAUUCUUCAGUCACCUUUCUCACUCACUAUGUGUUAAUAGACCUCUCUGCAUUGAAUCAUACUUGUGUUUUGGUGCCAUUUAUAAAUAUAGUGAACAUAAAUGCAGGUGGUAUUUAUAUAUGUAUGUAAAGAGAAGAGAAACCUUUUUUAUCCAUUUGCAGAGUUUUUUCACUUUUCUGUGUUCAGUGCAUUAAUUGAUGACGCUGCUAGUCAGUCUCAAAGUUAUUUGCACAGAAUUUCAGGGCUGAAAGCAAGAAGCACUGAUAACAGUGGCUAUGUGAGGGUCUAGCCCACGGGUCUCCCCUCCCACUCCACACCUCGAAAGCUACUGUCCUGCAGCUUUUAUGCAUCCUGGCACAUCUGAGUCACAUGAAAGGUUGUUAAAGAGGUAGGAAUACAACUAAAAGCCACCAAUGACUGGUAGAGGUAACUUUCCGUGGAAAUUACCCAAACUUCUGCUGGUUGGUUUUAAAAAAAGACAGCCUUCCUGAAUGGUCCAGCAAAGAAUGUUUGUUGUUGAAACAACAGACUCAAUGUCGUAUCAUGUUUUCUGUUUAAAAUGUAAACUGCUGGUUAUGAACAGUAAAAACACAUUCAUAAAAUCAAAGAACUUGAAGCUCCACUUUUCUGUUGUUUCAUUAAUUUUAUAGUUGUAAAGUGAUUCUGGAAUUAAAAUCUUGACUUUAAACCAUGAAGAAAAGCCGACACCAUUUGUUUUAGUUAAAUUUGCUUCUGUACAAAGCCAUGGUAGAAUACAGCCACUUUUUGUAAAAAUAAUGGGAUAUUUGACACUGUAAAUCAGUUUCAUAAUGAAGUUUUAUCACAUUUUUAUGUUAUUCUCUUAAUAAACACAGUUCUCCUGUCUUUCAAUAACAAAUUAAACAGAUAAAAAAUCCAGAG